GACGAACGCUGGCGGCGUGCUUAACACAUGCAAGUCGAACGGACAGGCCCUGCUUUUGUGGGGUGCUCGAGUGGCGAACGGGUGAGUAACACGUGAGUAACCUGCCCUUGACUUUGGGAUAACUUCAGGGAACUGGGGCUCAUAUCGGAUAGGAGCUACUGCUGCAUGGGGGGGGUUGGAAAGAUUCGGCGGUUGGGGAUGGAUUCGCUGCUUAUCAGCCUGAUGGUGGGGUAGUUGCUUACCAAGGCUUUGAAGGGUAGCCGGCCUGAGAGGGGGGACGGCGACAUGGGUACUGCGGGACGGCGCAGACGCCUACCGGACGCAGCAGGCGGGAAUAUUGCACAAUGGGGGGAAGCCUGAGGCAGCAACGCCGCGUGCGGGAUGACGGCCUUCGGGGGGUAAACCGCUGUCGCCGGUGACGAAGCGGGAGUGACGGUAAUGGGUAAAGAAGCACCGGCUAACUACGUG
rnacentral:rRNA from 1 species